rnacentral:rRNA from 1 species
CUUGAACGCUGGCGGCAGGCCUAACACAUGCAAGUCGAGCGGCUCGGCGGUCGGGGGAGUGAGGCCUAGGAAUCUGCAAGGUGGUGGGGGAGACCGUCCGGAACCGGGCGCUAAUACCACAUACUAUAAGCAGAGCAUCGGUCGUAUUAGCUAGGUGGUGGGGUAAAGGCCUAGCAAGGCGACGAUCCGUAACGGGUCUAAGAGGAUGAUCAGGCACGCUGGAACGGAGACACGGUCCAGACUCCGACGGGAGGCAGCAGUGGGGAAAAUUGGACAAUGGGCGAAAGCCUGAUCCAGCCAUGCCGGGUGUGUGAAGAAGGUCUUCGGAUUGUAAAGCACUUUAAGUUGGGAGGCGUUACCCACAGAAGAAGCACCGGCUAACUACGUGCCAGGAGCGGCGGUAAUAC